AGAUCUCAUUACAUGCUUUUAUACAGUCCACAGCCAGUAGCAAUGCCAGUUUUGUGUUUGCAUUUUUUUCUAUUCCCAUAGAGUUAUAAUUUAGUAGUGCGUCUGCCUUAUGUCCAUUCAGUGUUGAUGAUCAUAGUAUGAAGAAAAUGACAAUUCUUUUGGUAUGGAUUAGUUAAAUUAAACUCAUAUGAAUUUAUUUCAAAAGAUGUCUGGAAGCAUUUUUAGUAGCUGCUAGGUGCCUCGAAAGAUAAACUCAUAUGAAUUUAUUUCCAUUCAGACGAGAAAAUGAGGCAUACUCUGUUUAUCUUCAUAUAUGUAGGAAAAAAACAUGAUUACUUCAUUGCAUAAUGUGCGAACAAAUCUGUUACCAUGUUAUGCAUGAAAUUAUUUGUAACUGCAGUUCAGAUGUGAUAGUACCAGGAGCACUUCCGUCAGUAAUCACAAAUGGUUUAGUUGUACUAUUUAUAUGUUAAAAAUCCUGUUCUAUAUCUUGCUUGCUCACUCUUUGGCCAGGCUCCUUUAUUCCCUUGAUAGAUAGAUGCAUGACUCUGCAUAGAACUCAUUACAGACCACUACUGUAUCUUCCAUAGUUACUGCAGCCCAUAUACAAGGUCCUGGAUUUGUUGUCCAUUAUUUGACUAUCUUGACAGAGCAUUAGAUUUGUAGACAGGGAAUCAAAAUAAACAUAAUUGUUGGUUUUUCUCUUGUUAUUUUGUGGUGUUGAAAAUUUUGGCCCCUCUAUUCAGGUGGGUAUCGAAACAUGCCAAAACAGGCUGUAUGAUCUUCAUAUGCCAAAACAGGCUGUAUGAUCUUCAUAUUACUUAUUAUCGCCAUUUCUUCCUGUUGUUUUACAAAGAUUUUUCUUUCCAUAUGGUGUUUCUCAUCUCAAAAUGGAUUCAAACCAGAUCACUUUUUAUAUAUAGGUAAACCGCUUUGUCUUCAUUCUGUCUUUGUUUCUUUGAGGUGUCAAAAUCUUAUCAAAUGCAUACUGUGUGGUGCUAAAUUAAAAAUAUAAGCUAUCACAACAGUAUACAAUAUUUAGCAUGUUUUUACAUUACUUAUACAAUAUUACAGGGUGCUUUUAGCUUCCUUUUGUAUGUAAAUGGUGCCUUUGGUAUUUUCAAAAGUGUUUCAGAACCGGCCUGUUUAUAAGAUAAUAUAAGUAAGCAAAGGAUACAACAGAUAUAGUAAGCAGGAAAGCAAAUAGAAUUAUUCAGAUGGAGAAAUAUAGUAGUAGGUACCAGGACACUUAAUGGUGCAGUUUUUAUGUUUGAUCACAUGGAGAAUAUAUCUAAAUUGAUAUAUUUUCGCUCAGUAGAAAAAUGGAAUUAUUUUGUGAUAGAUCCGAGCUACAUAUAUAUAGUCUUAGGUAGUGAUGAUCUAUAUGUUAUUUGUUCCAUUGCAGGUGUUAGAAAAGAAAGUUCAAGUUUUAAGUGUCUGAAUUUUGUAGCAGAGACUUUAUGAGGCUAGAAGGUACGGUAUGCAUUUAUCUUGCCCAUUUAUUUUUGCUUUCUUUGUGUUCCUGCGAUGGCUCAUGAGCUGAGAAUAAGAUAUUGAGUGAGCCCAUUGUUAUGUUUGAUUCGGAUGGUUUACAUCCUUAGUUGAGGCAUUACUGCAGAUCUAUCUCCAGAACCCUGUGACUCAAAUAUAAGCUGCAAGCCAGAAAGAAUAUGCUUUAUUGUAUCUCCCUUCCUUGAUAUUUUUUCUUCUUUACCUAUGAUAUUUCUUUCGCAGAACCUGCUUUUGUUCCUUUCUCUGGGUGGUGGUUGGGAUCAUUAUCUAGCCCCUCCUGUUUCUAAUUGAUGUUACAUUUCAGCUCCUCUAGGAUUAUAGCCAGCAAUGUACAUAAUAGAUGAAGAUAAAAAAUUGUUUAUGCUUCAAAUGUUUUAGUGGACAUAUAACCAGGUAUUUUAUUCCUUGGCAUUAUAGCUAAUUAGUUAUAUACUUCCUAUUCUGUACCUAGAUUGCACAUAUAAUUGAUCUACUGGUUGCCUCUUUUGUUUACCUAAAUAUAGCAUCGAAAACGCGUCCAAUAAGUAUAUCAAGCGUCCUUUUUCUGUUUAUUUUUCUUUCUUUUACAGUAUGAAAUAAAGAGAGGAACCAAUAUGUUGUGAGAUCUUCAGCAUAAUUUUACACAUCGGACAUUUGAUCAAAGACCAAUUACUUGACUUGAGACAUCUAUGCUUGACAAUACUCUUAUACAAUUUUAUCUAUGGUGGUGAUAUGACGAGUGUCUUCUUUUUCGUUGGCGGUCAAUUUUAUCAAAUACUCUUAUACAAUUUUACUUUUUAGUAGUUUUGGACACUCAAAAGUCUGGUGAAAAAAGGCCUUGGUAGUGCUGAUUUGUAGGUUUGCUUCGCUACGCCGAAGGUGCAGUUCCCUCAGGGCUCAAGCUGAGUUUACCCUUCUGGCUAAUACGGCAACAUGUCAUUUUGUUCGAUGUCUAUUCUUGCUUGCUGGUGGUGAUAUGACGAGUGUCUUCUUUUUCGUUGGCGGUCAAUUUUAUCAAAUACUCUUAUACAAUUUUAUUUUUUAGUAGUUUUGGGCACUCGAAAGUCUGGUUGCCUAACCACGUGCUAUUCAUUUUGGUGUUUGGCCCUCCCAAGGAGGUAACAUAUACAUGUUGCUCAUACUGGAUUUUCUUUUAUAACUUGGUCUAUGUAACCUAUUUUAGAGUAUAUAAAGCCUGGGCCACGAGUCCUUCCGUUUAAAAGGGAUAUAAAUAGUUCUAAAAAAAGGGAUAUAAACCAUCCAGCCAAACGUCAUUCCACAAGGAACAAUCACCUAGAUUUUCUGUGCAUGUUGUAACUCCUUUGUAAAUAAUAAACAUGGCUAAUUAAUUGACGCGGUUAGCUGAGUUCCUGUUAGGAUGUUGUAGUAUCCAAAUAUGUUCAAGUUCGUUCAAAAAAAAAUCUGGCUAGGUGAGUGCAAGUUUGUUUGGCUUCAGAGUCACGGAGUAAUGCAGAAUGUGUCCUUGCGUAAUUUUCAUACGUUAUGAGACAUCUGCGUUGUUUCCUUACGGGUGGAGCCUCAGCCUCAUUUCGUCCAAACCAAGUUAUAAAAUACUCCAGCAAUAAUGCCCUUUAGUUGUCACUUACAAAAGAUGAAAAGAGCUCAGUUCAGCAACCUAUUUUUGUAACUGAUUCAUACUGCUGACUGAACUUAAUAAAGCUUACAAAUGAAUAGAAGGAUAGAUCACAGCAGACGAAAUUCUAUAAAGUGGCUAAGUUGCAACUUAUGUAUAAAAGCAAAAUUGCUAUGUUUUCCUGAAUUUUCUUAGUCGGAUUUCCGUUGCAGUGAGCAAGAAAAGAACGUCUGCAACGAGGCGGAUCAUAUUGAGUGGUGUAAGAUCGAUGAUUGUAUGAGAAAUCCUCUGGCUGGCUUCUGAAGAAACUGAUGUCAUGUUCACAUGUUAGAACAUGGAUAGGUACUUCUGGAUUGUCCCUAAAUCCUGGGCAGAGGCAUACCAAAGAAUUUCUUCUGAUUGGUUAUCAUUUCUACACUCACCUGCAUGGUUAAAAUUCAGGUUUAGCUGGUUGAGCCUCCAAAAUAUGCAGUCGCGGGGGAGAAGCUGACCUUUGCUGGGUACUCGGGCUGAGCGUCGGAAGAUGAUGAGGAAGCAAUCCUAAACAAAAAACCAUAUUAGCAAUGUCGUGUUACAAACAGAGUCUAAGUUUGCUUGCCACUAUGAACACCGGAACUCACUCUGUUAGGCUCUUUGACCGUGCAAUGGUGCUUCUUUGGAAACUCCAUAUUAGCAAUGUCACUGGCAUCUUAUCUGAUUGCUGCAAUAGGCCUUUCUUUUUUAUAGAGUGCCAUGUUGUUUCUAGGAAAAAUCUGAACAUACUCUUUACAGUAUAUAAAGAAAAUGCAUGUUGCAUGGUCAAAGUUAAGUGACCCUGGUGAAUUUUUUUAUUUCGUGUACAUGACAUGCUUGCUGAAAUUAUAAAUUUUUU